rnacentral:rRNA from 1 species
UGGGCGAAAGCCUGAUGCAGCAACGCCGCGUGAGUGAUGAAGGCCUUCGGGUUGUAAAGCUCUGUCUUUUGGGACGAUAAUGACGGUACCAAAGGAGGAAGCCACGGCUAACUACGUGCCAGCAGCCGCGGUAAUACGUAGGUGGCGAGCGUUGUCCGGAUUUACUGGGCGUAAAGGAUGCGUAGGCGGAUUUUUAAGUGAGAUGUGAAAUACCCGGGCUUAACUUGGGUGCUGCAUUUCAAACUGGAAGUCUAGAGUGCGGGAGAGGAGAGUGGAAUUCCUAGUGUAGCGGUGAAAUGCGUAGAGAUUAGGAAGAACACCAGUGGCGAAGGCGACUCUCUGGACCGUAACUGACGCUGAGGCAUGAAAGCGUGGGUAGCAAACAGGAUUAGAUACCCUGGUAGUCCACGCCGUAAACGAUGAGUACUAGGUGUAGGAGGUAUCGACUCCUUCUGUGCCGCAGUUAACACAAUAAGUAUUCCGCCUGGGGAGUAC